UUUCCUCUAAGAGUUUUAUAGUGUCUGGCCUUACAUUUAGGUCUGUAAUCCGUUGAUUUUAUUAUUUGUGUGUAUGGUGUUAGGGAGUGUUCUAAUCUCACUCUUUUACAUGUAGCUGUCCAGCUCUCCCAGCACCUCAGUGGUAGAUUUACCGCGAGUUCUUGGAGGGACCAGAUGCUGUUCUACUCAUUUGUGUAUUCCUAGUAGUUAGUUAGCACGGCACUGUGUGGAGCUGCCUGACAAACUUUUGUUAGAUUCCAGGGUAGUUCUCUGAGAAGAUGUAGGGGGACUCUGGCCUCUGCCUUAAAACCCUAUUCAACUUGAGACGGGGCUUUCCUGAACCAAACCUUCGUGUGUCCCCCUUGUCAUAGUUGGGAGAUGACUCUUUGGACAAUCUCCCCCUCCUCCCACCAAAGCAGUGGUUAACCUAGGAGUACUUUUUAUUUCUGCCCUAAUCUCAAAUUUAAACCAAAAGCAGUCUCUCCCUGUCCCCACAUACAUGCACCUGAAAAUAGGCCAAAUGACUUUAUUGAGUCAUCUGCAUACCGAGAUUUCAACAUUGGGCAUAAAUACCACCAACGAACCAUUUCCACACCGGGAAGAGAAAACAAAUACAAUGACACAGCCCCAAAUUGAAAACAAAGCAAAAUUUAUUGCAUGUGAAAAGCAAUCACAUGGAAAUUAAGGGUCAGGAACCAUGAAAAUACAUAUUUCGCAUAUUUUCUGUCCUGUUCCAGCGUAGGAUCACUCACUCUUCGCUCUCAUGGACCACCAUCUGGGGAGAAAGUGGGCAUCUUGAGUUCUGUCAGAUGGCAGAGCCGCAUUUCCGGCCACGCCCCCUCCCAGCGAGCAUCUGGGGUUGCUUGCUUGUCUGUUUCAGCGGGACACGGGAUAUUCCUUGGAUCGCAGGCGGAUACACGAGUGCCGACGUGGCGGCAGUCACCCCACAGCCUGAGAGCCUGGUCCUCAGAAUAGCCCAGGGAUCUAGGAACCUACACCUACAGUGGGCGCAGAGACGGCGGGCGGCCGGCAGAGGGCGCCCGAGCCCACGCAGGAACCGCUCGCUGCUUUUCAGGACGGUGUUCUACUGGGACUCACAGACCGGGGUUUAGCCGGGCUCUACGCCAGCUACGUGGCUUUAAGCAAAUCCUUUCCUUUCCUGAGCCCGAGACUGACCAGUCCUAAAGUCGAAGGUUCUCCAAAGUCCCGUCCGUCACGGCGCGUUCCUCCCCGGGGGGGGGGCCGCACCUCCCGCUGCAUCGCCCUCCCCACCCAGUGCCGCAGGGCCACCUACUCGGCUGGAGGUGAAGUCUCUGGUCUUCGCGCGGAGCUUAUUGACUUGAGAUUCGGCAAUAUCGGCCCGUUCUUCAGCCUCCUCCAGCUCAUGCUGAGCUUUCCGGAACUUGGUGAGAUGAGCGUUGGCUUGUUCAUCCUAAAAGCAAAGAGCCGGGGCGGGUACGAUCAGCGAGCGCCGCUCUGGGGCUCGCAGGGGGAAACAGGCCAGGCGCUGUGCUGGGGUCCUGCGGACUUACAGCCUCCUCGGCCUGCCUCUUGUAGGACUUGACCUUCACUUGAAGUUUGUCCACCAGAUCCUGUAAUCUCACCACGUUCUUCCUGUCCUCUUCGCACUGAAAGAGAGAACAUGGGACAGACUUAGCCAGGGGCCGGCAGGGAUGCAAGAGGUCCCAGUUCUCUCUGGGGCUAAAGGAUUUCUCCCUGUUUUCUGGAGAGAGGACCCGGGAGGGUGUUCGCACUUCACAGAGGAAAUGCCCGUGGGGUUUCUUUCCACUUGCCUGGUAAGUUAACUCCUUGACCCGCCGCUCAUACUUCCUCAGGCCCUUGACAGACUCGGUGUUCUUCUUCUGCUCCCCUUCAAGCUCAAACUCCAGCUCUCGGAUCUGGGGGAACGUGUGUAAAUUAGUCUGGGGCUGGAGUACGAACGGGAGAGGCCAGAAAGCUCUGUGUAGGCUGGGGCCUGUCCUGCAAGUACCCGCGCCUCCAGCUUCUGGAUCUGCUUCUUCCCGCCCUUCAGGGCCAGCUGCUCAGCCUCGUCCAGGUGGUGCUGCAGGUCCUUCACCGUCUGCUCCAGGUUCUUCUUCAUGCGCUCCAGGUGGGCGCUGGUGUCCUGCUCCUUCUUCAGCUCCUCAGCCAUCAUGGCCGCCUGAAAAGCACAUCAUCCCACUCAGAUGCAGACCAAGGUCAAGUGCUUGGAGCUGUUGAAAUCUGGGUACCCGGAGGACCAGAGCCAUGCUGAUGACAAAGGACAAUAGUGAACCACCAGAGACUAACCAAGUACAAAAUGCCUCUGAAAUCAACUCAAGAGGCGUAUCCAGCUCCAUUGGGCACAGGACAUGCUACUGCCUGUGUCCUUCAGGCAAGUCGGAAAGUCUGUACUGAGGACUCGCCUCCCAGGCCGGCCGGCACACGCAGCUGAUGCCGUUUAAAGUAAUAGUUCAGUUCUGGUCCUCCAUUUAUUAGACCUCAUCUGUAUAUCAUCAUACUGCCACUCACCCUCCCUAAGUGACAGUAACCAGAUUAAGACCACAUCACUGUUCUUGAGUGAGUCAAGUUUAGCAUCUCUGCGUUGCUCGUUUUGAGAUGACUUAAACCAAGUACAAGCAAAUAAAUCUGUAUCUUUCUUACCCUGAAGAGGGCAGAGACGGUCUGGAAGGAAGAGCCCUUUUUCUUGGCAGCUUUCUUCUUCCCACCAUCAGCUGAAAGAAAGAAAAGACGGCGUGUGCUGCUAGCAGACCUGCAGAGCUGCUCCAGCCCCGUGGGCUGGUGGAGUGAAAAAGUGCGGGUCCAAGGCACCCCGCGGAGUCUGUUACCGUCUGCUGUGGCGAAGGUGGCGUAGAGGUGUGCCAGGAGCCUGUUGGAGGACUUCUGGUACAGGCCGACCACCGUCUCGUUCAGGGGGUCCUUGUUCUUCUCCAGCCAGCCCGAGACGCUGUAGUCCACGGUGCCCGCAUAGUGGAUCAGCGAGAAGUGGGCCUCGGCCCUGCCCUUGACCGCCUUGGGCUUCUGGAAGUUGCUGGACUUGCCCAGGUGCUGGUCAUACAGCUUGUUCUUGAAGGAGGUGUCUGUGGCCUUGGGGAACAUGCACUCCUCUUCCAGGAUGGAGAAGAUGCCCAUCGGCUGGACCAAGGCAGAGUGCAUACGGGGCAGGUAUGAGCUGCAGUGUCAAGCAGCAGGUCGGCGAGGGGCGGCUGCUGAGUGCACACAGCAGGUACCUUCUCGAUGAGCUCAAUGCAGGCGGCCAGGUCCAUCCCGAAGUCGAUGAACUCCCACUCGAUGCCCUCCUUCUUGUACUCCUCCUGCUCCAGCACGAACAUGUGGUGGUUGAAGAACUGCUGCAGCUUCUCGUUGGUGAAGUUGAUGCACAGCUGCUCCAGGCUGUUGUACUAACACCAAAACAUAAGGUUCACAUGAAAAGUUAGACUUCUUUCAAAACCAAACACGCAUCAGCCUUCCUCCUCAUGGUCUUGGGCUCUCGCCAGCUCAUUUAUGCUUUCAGGAAUGGGCACACUCUUGGGCUCAGCGGAGACCACACGUCCUUGGAGUCUUCUCUGAUUUCCAGCUGGAAGAUGCUUCUCCUGAGUCCACGGUCUGGGCCUCUCCUGGGCGCUGGCCACGGCCUGCCUUAUCUGUAGUUGGUCUUCUGUGUGCCUUACGUACUUCUCGUUGUCCUCUACAAACUACAAGCUCAUCUUUUUUUCACCUGCAAGUCUUAUCCCUGGCAGACACCAAACAUAUGCUUCGAUGAAUGGCUAUGUGCUUCUAACCCAGAGCCAGUAGGAUAUUUAUGUAAAACAUCGCAUGGUUGGCUUAUUGUCAACUUCUUCUCUGUUUCUGGCUCUCCCUAUUGUCAGUAAUUGCAUUUGAUUUUUUGUUUUCUUUUAUCCGUUUGAGGAUGUCUUUAAAAUUCCACUUGACACAAGCCUUCCUCCCUCUUAAAAUAAUACAAACCCUUCCACGUUCUCUUCUACCUGAUCCACCCUCCAUCUCGUUUUCCUCCAAGAUGUGAUGCUGGAUGACGUGUGGGCUGCCUUGACAUCUUGCCUAUAGGAUCACGAAAACCAGCCCCCAGCACAAAGCCAAACGAGUAUAACACAAACCUCAAAGAUCUCAAAGCCCGCGAUGUCCAGGACGCCAAUGAAGUGCUGUCUGGGCAGUUUGGUGUCCAGCUGCUGGUUGAUGCGGGUGACCAUCCACAGGAACAGCUUCUCGUAGACGGACUUGGAGAGGGCGUUCACGGCAUGGUGCACCUGUGCGGAGGGGCCAGCCGGUGAGUCUGGAGGCAGCGGCCGGCGGGUGCUGCGUCCUUUCCCAGCCUGCGGCAGCCACUUACCUGGUCCACAGUCUGGCCCUUGGUAACAUACUCGUUCCCAACUUUCACUCUGGGGAAGCACAAAGCUUUCAGGAGGUCCGAAGAGUUCAGGCCCAUCAGAUAGGCUGUCUUGUCAGCCACUGGCAGGAAAAGAAGGCUGAUUACAAGGGAAACCCCUGAUGCUUGGCAAAGCGGAAGAGCCACUCUGAAAGUCAUCCGGAUGUUUCCACGCUCGGCUCAGCCCAUCUUCAUGUGUUUACAUUCCGUGUCUCUAAACUGCUUACCUGUGGCCGGUGGGAGCUGAGUCACUCAGAGAAUAUGAUAGAUUUUAUGAAAAGGCGGCACUGGCUUCCAGAAAACCCUGGUCACUUCUUACUGUAUCUGAGGCAGGACCAUUCUAGUGAUUCAGCAGACGGGUCAGUAACCGUGCCUGUAGGCAUCUGAGCCCUGAAGAGGUUCGCCUCUCUAGGCAGGAGGAGGAGUAAGCGCUUUCAAAAGAGGCCCUGAGGGGCUUCCCUGGUGGUGCAGUGGUUGAGAGUCCGCCUGCCGAUGCAGGGGACUCGGGUUCAUGCCCCGGUCCAGGAAGAUCCCACAUGCCGCGGAGUGGCUGGGCCUGUGCGUUCGGAGCCUGUGCUCCGCAACGGGAGAGGCCACAACAGUGAGAGGCCCGCGUACGGCAAAAAAAAAGGCCCCGAGCGACCUCAGCUGGACGCCCCCUGGCCCUGCCCGCGCGGUCGCCGCGGUGACGUGGUACCUUCAGUGCCGUCUGGCUCUGCCUGCUCCUCCCGCUGCUUCUGCUUGAACUUCAUGUUCCCGUAGUGCAUCACGGCGCCUGUCAGCUUGUAGAGUCCACACUUCUCCUCUGGGGUGAAGCCCAGGAUGUCAAUGGCGCUCUGGCAUCGGAGGACAGCACGUCAGCCGGUUGACCCCAGUGAUGGAGGAGCAGCCCCGCGCCCACCCCUCCCCCCCCCGUCUGCUUACAUCCGUAGCCAGCAGCUCCUCCGCAUCGUCAAUGCUGCCCACCAGGAUCUCACCCUGGCUGAUGAACGGGUAGUCAUAAGGGUUGGUUGUAAUAAGCAGCAGCUCUGCAAUGAUGACCAUUCAGAGGAGGUCACAUGGAUGCAAAGAAAACAUCCACUAGGGGCUUUCAGCUUCUGCGUCCUCAGCUGAGACUUUUGCUGCUGGGGCCCAGGCUGAGGGUAGUUAGAAAUCUCUUAAACAGUCUCUCGAUACUCAGGCUGUGGCAGAAUAUGAAGUCCAGGGAAGACUCUGCAGCCCGCCCAGGCCAUGUAGGGUAAGAACCACAGAGAGAAUAUUGAAAUUCUCUUGCUUUGCGUGCAAAGGGCGCAGAUCCAUGUCGGUUGGGAAAGGUUAAUCGGGAAAACUGGCCGAGUGUGGGCCAGGACAGAGCCACAGGGAGGGAAGCACAGAUCAUUUGGUAGAAGCACAGUCUUUUCCAAAACCUGUUGAAAAGCUGCAGCCUAUUUCCAGGCUUGGGCCCAGAAGGCUGAGCAGACACAGCCAGGGAGCAAAGAAGGGCACGAGGCCCCUGUUAGGUGCGGGACGAAGGGCAGGGUGGACAUCCACCAGCUGGUGGUUCAUCUGAUUUUGCGUUGGCCUCAGCAUUUGGUGAAAUGUUGGUUUCUGUGCCAGAACACAAGGGGGCGCUAGAGGACCACUACAUGCUUGGUCAUUCGGCCAGUUUCCAUAAACCAGAGCUGAAUAAACCAAUUGUGCCUC